GCCAACGUAGCUCAACCGGUAGAGCGGCUCAUUCGUAAUGAGCAGGUUGGGGGUUCAAGUCCCUUCGUUGGCUCCA
rnacentral:tRNA from 17 species